rnacentral:lncRNA from 1 species
AGAAGCUUCUUGUUCCCUCGGUGCACCAUGCUGCUUCUCACCUCCAUGCCUUUACCCUUGCUGUCCACCUGCCUGGAAUGCCCUUCUCCUGCUUCUCCACCUGGCUAACUCAUCCUUCAAGACUCUGCUCAGGGGACAGCUCCAGGAAGCCUUUCCCGCACCUCCCAAGCUGGGUAAGCUGCUCCCUGUGUGUCUUCAUGAUGGAACUUGCCACAUGUACUGUGUCAUCCGCUCAUGUGUGUAUCCCCCUUACCAGACCGUGCUCCCCCAGGGCAAGGGCCAGAUCUCUGUUCACCUUUGUAGCCCUAGCUUCUGGCCCAAAGCCUACCAUAGACAGUGUCUUCUAAAGUGCUCAUUGAAUGAAAAAUGAGUGAGUGAAUGAAUGAUGAGAUUCACUGUCUGCCUCCACAUUCACCAUGGUGCUUCCACAAGGCUCUUCUCUGACUAUUAACUGUCUCUGCUCCCAUGAAAGGGGCAGUUUUGUGAGAGGUCACAGCAACUGCAGACCAGAGAGCAGUCAAUGGCUGGUUUUAUACUGGCUGGCCUCUGUUCAGGCCUGCAUACCUCUGUACUUUAGAUAGCCACUUUUUCUAAACAGUCUUGAUUGCAUAAAAUCAUGGGCCCUUGGUUACAGGGUAAUCUAAGAGGUUGGCCAAUCUCACUCCCUGCUCAGUUCAGGGCUCCUAACUCUAGGGUGACAGGACCCUCCCCACCACCACACAUUUCACAGGCAUGUCUAAUUCCAAGCAAGGAUUAUAACCAACAGGCCUGGUUCUAAAUCCAAGCUCUACUAUUUACUAGCUGUGUGACCUUAACUGAGUCUCUUAAUUUCUUUAAGCCUCCAAUAGAUAACAAUAAUACAAAUAUCGAUCACUCUUCGAAUAUAUUUGGUUCCCAAUUCAGGAAGCAAGAAUUUGGCCAGCAAGGGAUAAUUUUAUUUAUUUCGACCUGUUUGUUUUCAGAGUUCAGGAUAGCAGGUGGCAAGAGCUCUGAAAGCAAGGGAUACCUGAUUCCCAGGCCUGCGGUGAGGGCCCCAUGGGGAGGCAUGCAAAAGUCCUCUGCAAACUGGAGUGUGCAAUGCCCUCGCCAAUAGCUCAUGUUAUGGGUAGUUUUGCUGACCACAGCUUCCCAGUUAAUUACUGCCCCUGGUCCCUAACAGUAUGGCAGCUGGAGCUACACAAGGUGAAUCCACUCCUGCCACACAAUGGCCUGAGAUUAACGCCAUCUAGUGUUGGCUCUUGCUGCCUCUUCCCGUCCCCCAGCCUUUCAUCUGGCCCCUGCUCUCUAAGCACACCCUAUAAAUCAGCUGGUGCAGAUCCAUCUCUGCAAUUCCACAUUCAUUUGGAGUGAUCCCCUCUGGAUGCAGGAAACCAAUUUUGAUUAAUUGCUCAAGAUCCGAUCCUUUGCUUUAGAUGGGGGUUGGGGGAAGACAAUGAUGAUUUGCAAGUUCCCAGGAGCAUAGUGUUAGACAAGAAUUGAGCGCUGCCUUAGUCCAACACUUUACAUUUUAAAAAGGGUCAUUAGCAGAAUUAUUAGAUUCCUGGCAGCCCACUGGGACAAUCUGCUGUGCCUUUGACUUUGCCUUCUUGGUGCUAAAACAAUCGAGAAUGCCUUUAAAAAUAUUUCUCAUACAAUUGGAAAUUUAUUUAGUUCUCCCUAGCAGGCCAAAUCUAGAAAAAGUAUUUAACAUUGGCAAAAAUAAAUAGGUAAAUAACCACAAAGAAAACAUAACCACCUAGCCACUUACCCACCUAAGUGCAACCAUUUCCCUGUAUUUCAGAAGAACAUGUCUGCCUGGAGGGAACCCAGAGUGGCAGGGAAAGACCUGAACUAGGGGCUGGCCCCAGAUCUUGAUUCGACUUUUGUAAAAUGCAGAGAUGCCACUGCUUUCUGGGGCUAAGGUCUUCUUUUUCAGGGUCGGCUGAAUGCUAGGAAGUAAACCUGGUGGGUAGGGGGAGCUGUGCAGUGGGAGUAGCCAGCCAGGUUGUUGGGGGCCUGGGCCCAGAGGGGCAACUCUCUAAGGAGAUGCAGUUGGGAGCUCUGAGCUGGAACCUGCAGAAGUCAUUGGCUCCAGCCAGAGCCAGUCAGAGUCAUCUCAAGCCGAGCCCAGUCCAGGCAUCUACAGACAAAUUUGGAAUCUCUAUAUCUGUAUAUUCCACAAGGAGGGAUACUAUAGAGAGGAAAGAGCUCCUCCAUUAAGGUCCUGACUUUGCCCGAACUCACUGUGUGACUUUGGGCAACUUACUUCAGCUUUCUGCACCGCGUUUUCGCUUCUGGAAGGUGAGGAGAGGGCUUUCUGUCUGCCUGGCUGACACCAUUGUUGUGAGAAUCAAA